rnacentral:rRNA from 1 species
GGUGCUCGAGUGGCGAACGGGUGAGUAACACGUGAGUAACCUGCCCUUGACUUUGGGAUAACUUCAGGAAACUGGGGCUAAUACCGGAUAGGAGCUCCUGCUGCAUGGUGGGGGUUGGAAAGUUUCGGCGGUUGGGGAUGGACUCGCGGCUUAUCAGCUUGUUGGUGGGGUAGUGGCUUACCAAGGCCUUGACGGGUAGCCGGCCUGAGAGGGUGACCGGCCACAUUGGGACUGAGAUACGGCCCAG